CCUACGGGUGGCAGCAGUGGGGAAUUUUGCGCAAUGGGGGAAACCCUGACGCAGCAACGCCGCGUGCGGGACGAAGGCCCUCGGGUUGUAAACCGCUUUCAGCAGGGAAGAUCCAAGACGGUACCUGCAGAAGAAGCUCCGGCUAACUACGUGCCAGCAGCCGCGGUAAUACGUAGGGGGCGAGCGUUAUCCGGAUUCAUUGGGCGUAAAGCGCGCGAGGGCGGCCGCCUAAGCGGGACCUCUAACCCCGGGGCCAAACCCCGGGCCGGGUUCAGGACUGGGGGGCUCGGGUGCGUUAGAGGAGGGCGGAAUUCGGGGUGUAGCGGUGGAAUGCGCAGAUAUCGGGAAGAACACCGAUGGCGAAGGCAGCUCUCUGGGCCGUCACUGAGGCUGAGGCGCGAAAGCUGGGGGAGCGAACAGGAUUAGAUACCCUUGUGUC
rnacentral:rRNA from 1 species